rnacentral:rRNA from 1 species
CUAACAGAAAUCUGAAAAGUAUAAGUAAAUCAUUUUUCGACCCUAGUAUAGGAGAUAGAAAGGAAAAUUUGAGCUAUAGAGAAAGUACCGCAAGGGAAAGCUGAAAUAGAAGUGAAAUAACCCAUUUAAGCCUAAAGAAACAGAGAUUCUACCUCGUACCUUUUGCAUCAUGAUUUAGCUAGUAAACUCACGCAAAGAGAACUUUAGUUUGAGCCCCCGAAACUAGACGAGCUACUCCGAGACAGCCUAUAACAGGGCCAACCCGUCUCUGUGGCAAAAGAGUGGGACGAGCUCCGAGUAGAGGUGAAAGACCUACCGAGUCUAGUUAUAGCUGGUUGCUUAAGAAAUGGAUAUAAGUUCAGCCCCCCGGCUUCUUGAACCCUGACAGUGCUACUGGCUUUGGGCACAGAAACCAGGGGAGUUAGUCAGAGGAGGUACAGCUCCUUUGAAGCAGGACACAACCUUUUCAGGUGGUUAAGGAACACAAUAAUUAAGGUAGACUGUCUUAGUGGGCUUAAAGGCAGCCACCUAUGAAGAGGGCGUUAAAGCUCAGACAACCUAAAACCGCUUAUUUUGUUAAGCACUCCGACCCCCAGAAAUAUAUUAAGCCGCCCCAUGCGACCAUGGGAGAGACCAUGCUAAAAUUAGUAAUAAGAGGGCUCGCCCCUCUCCUAUGCAUAUGUGUAAGUCGGACCGGACUCCCCGCCGAUGAUUAGCGAACCCAAGCCAAGAGGGAACUUCGGACCAAAUCGAAAGCAAGAAAAUCCCGAAUACAACAUCGUUAACCCCACACAGGAAUGCUUUUAGGAAAGACUUAAAGGGGGAGAAGGAACUCGGCAAACACAAGCCUCGCCUGUUUACCAAAAACAUCGCCUCUUGCCCGAUAAGUAUAAGAGGUCCCGCCUGCCCUGUGACUACGGGUUUAACGGCCGCGGUAUUAUGACCGUGCGAAGGUAGCGCAAUCACUUGUCUUUUAAAUGGAGACCUGUAUGAAUGGCAUCACGAGGGCUUGACUGUCUCCUCCCCCCAGUCAGUGAAAUUGAUCUUCCCGUGCAGAAGCGGGAUUACCCCCAUAAGACGAGAAGACCCUAUGGAGCUUUAGACAUUAGGUGGCCCGUAAUAUAGGCCUGUCCGACCGGGAAAAGCCCCACGGCUCCCGCCUACUUGUCUUUGGUUGGGGCGACCCCGGAGGGAAGCAUAGCCUCCAUGAGGAUUGAGAGUACUACUCUUGCAGCCCAGAGCCACUGCUCCAGGCAACAGAACCUCUGACCAGCCGAUCCGGCUUGUGCCGAUCAACGAACCGAGUUACCCUAGGGAUAACAGCGCAAUCUCCUCUCAGAGGCCCUAUCGACGAGGGGGUUUACGACCUCGAUGUUGGAUCAGGACAUCCUAGUGGCGCAGCCGUCGCUAAGGGUUCGUUUGUUCAACGAUUAAAGUCCUACGUGAUCUGAGUUCAGACCGGAGUAAUCCAGGUCAGUUUCUAUCUAUGAAAUUAUCCCUCCUAGUACGAAAGGACCGGAGAGAGGGGGCCUAUGCCCACUAGUACGCCCCUCCCCCACCCACUGAAGACAACUAAAUUGGCAAAGGGGAAUACCCAGGCAUGUCGAAAAGAACGGCCC